rnacentral:rRNA from 1 species
GGGUUGUGAGGUUAAGCGACUAAGCGUACACGGUGGAUGCCCUGGCAGUCAGAGGCGAUGAAGGACGUGCUAAUCUGCGAUAAGCGUCGGUAAGGUGAUAUGAACCGUUAUAACCGGCGAUUUCCGAAUGGGGAAACCCAGUGUGAUUCGUCACACUAUCAUUAACUGAAUCCAUAGGUUAAUGAGGCGAACCGGGGGAACUGAAACAUCUAAGUACCCCGAGGAAAAGAAAUCAACCGAGAUUCCCCCAGUAGCGGCGAGCGAACGGGGAGCAGCCCAGAGCCUGAAUCAGUGUGUGUGUUAGUGGAAGCGUCUGGAAAGGCGCGCGAUACAGGGUGACAGCCCCGUACACAAAAAUGCACAUGCUGUGAGCUCGAUGAGUAGGGCGGGACACGUGGUAUCCUGUCUGAAUAUGGGGGGACCAUCCUCCAAGGCUAAAUACUCCUGACUGACCGAUAGUGAACCAGUACCGUGAGGGAAAGGCGAAAAGAACCCCGGCGAGGGGAGUGAAAAAGAACCUGAAACCGUGUACGUACAAGCAGUGGGAGCCUCUUUAUGGGGUGACUGCGUACCUUUUGUAUAAUGGGUCAGCGACUUAUAUUCUGUAGCAAGGUUAACCGAAUAGGGGAGCCGAAGGGAAACCGAGUCUUAACUGGGCGUUAAGUUGCAGGGUAUAGACCCGAAACCCGGUGAUCUAGCCAUGGGCAGGUUGAAGGUUGGGUAACACUAACUGGAGGACCGAACCGACUAAUGUUGAAAAAUUAGCGGAUGACUUGUGGCUGGGGGUGAAAGGCCAAUCAAACCGGGAGAUAGCUGGUUCUCCCCGAAAGCUAUUUAGGUAGCGCCUCGUGAAUUCAUCUCCGGGGGUAGAGCACUGUUUCGGCAAGGGGGUCAUCCCGACUUACCAACCCGAUGCAAACUGCGAAUACCGGAGAAUGUUAUCACGGGAGACACACGGCGGGUGCUAACGUCCGUCGUGAAGAGGGAAACAACCCAGACCGCCAGCUAAGGUCCCAAAGUCAUGGUUAAGUGGGAAACGAUGUGGGAAGGCCCAGACAGCCAGGAUGUUGGCUUAGAAGCAGCCAUCAUUUAAAGAAAGCGUAAUAGCUCACUGGUCGAGUCGGCCUGCGCGGAAGAUGUAACGGGGCUAAACCAUGCACCGAAGCUGCGGCAGCGACGCUUAUGCGUUGUUGGGUAGGGGAGCGUUCUGUAAGCCUGCGAAGGUGUACUGUGAGGUAUGCUGGAGGUAUCAGAAGUGCGAAUGCUGACAUAAGUAACGAUAAAGCGGGUGAAAAGCCCGCUCGCCGGAAGACCAAGGGUUCCUGUCCAACGUUAAUCGGGGCAGGGUGAGUCGACCCCUAAGGCGAGGCCGAAAGGCGUAGUCGAUGGGAAACAGGUUAAUAUUCCUGUACUUGGUGUUACUGCGAAGGGGGGACGGAGAAGGCUAUGUUGGCCGGGCGACGGUUGUCCCGGUUUAAGCGUGUAGGCUGGUUUUCCAGGCAAAUCCGGAAAAUCAAGGCUGAGGCGUGAUGACGAGGCACUACGGUGCUGAAGCAACAAAUGCCCUGCUUCCAGGAAAAGCCUCUAAGCAUCAGGUAACAUCAAAUCGUACCCCAAACCGACACAGGUGGUCAGGUAGAGAAUACCAAGGCGCUUGAGAGAACUCGGGUGAAGGAACUAGGCAAAAUGGUGCCGUAACUUCGGGAGAAGGCACGCUGAUAUGUAGGUGAAGUCCCUCGCGGAUGGAGCUGAAAUCAGUCGAAGAUACCAGCUGGCUGCAACUGUUUAUUAAAAACACAGCACUGUGCAAACACGAAAGUGGACGUAUACGGUGUGACGCCUGCCCGGUGCCGGAAGGUUAAUUGAUGGGGUUAGCGGUAAGCGAAGCUCUUGAUCGAAGCCCCGGUAAACGGCGGCCGUAACUAUAACGGUCCUAAGGUAGCGAAAUUCCUUGUCGGGUAAGUUCCGACCUGCACGAAUGGCGUAAUGAUGGCCAGGCUGUCUCCACCCGAGACUCAGUGAAAUUGAACUCGCUGUGAAGAUGCAGUGUACCCGCGGCAAGACGGAAAGACCCCGUGAACCUUUACUAUAGCUUGACACUGAACAUUGAGCCUUGAUGUGUAGGAUAGGUGGGAGGCUUUGAAGUGUGGACGCCAGUCUGCAUGGAGCCGACCUUGAAAUACCACCCUUUAAUGUUUGAUGUUCUAACGUUGGCCCCUAAUCGGGGUUGCGGACAGUGUCUGGUGGGUAGUUUGACUGGGGCGGUCUCCUCCUAAAGAGUAACGGAGGAGCACGAAGGUUGGCUAAUCCUGGUCGGACAUCAGGAGGUUAGUGCAAUGGCAUAAGCCAGCUUGACUGCGAGCGUGACGGCGCGAGCAGGUGCGAAAGCAGGUCAUAGUGAUCCGGUGGUUCUGAAUGGAAGGGCCAUCGCUCAACGGAUAAAAGGUACUCCGGGGAUAACAGGCUGAUACCGCCCAAGAGUUCAUAUCGACGGCGGUGUUUGGCACCUCGAUGUCGGCUCAUCACAUCCUGGGGCUGAAGUAGGUCCCAAGGGUAUGGCUGUUCGCCAUUUAAAGUGGUACGCGAGCUGGGUUUAGAACGUCGUGAGACAGUUCGGUCCCUAUCUGCCGUGGGCGCUGGAGAACUGAGGGGGGCUGCUCCUAGUACGAGAGGACCGGAGUGGACGCAUCACUGGUGUUCGGGUUGUCAUGCCAAUGGCACUGCCCGGUAGCUAAAUGCGGAAGAGAUAAGUGCUGAAAGCAUCUAAGCACGAAACUUGCCCCGAGAUGAGUUCUCCCUGACUCCCUGAGAGUCCUGAAGGAACGUUGAAGACGACGACGUUGAUAGGCCGGGUGUGUAAGCGCAGCGAUGCGUUGAGCUAACCGGUACUAAUGAACCGUGAGGCUUAACCUUACAACGCCGAAG